GGUUUCGUGGCCCAAUGGCAAGGCGUCUGACUACGACGAAGAAUCCAUUCAGUGGACACUUCACGAUAAUCAGGAGAUUCUGGGUUCGACCCCCAGCGAGAUCA